UUAACUGAAUCCAUAGGUUAAUGAGGCGAACCGGGGGAACUGAAACAUCUAAGUACCCCGAGGAAAAGAAAUCAACCGAGAUUCCCCCAGUAGCGGCGAGCGAACGGGGAGGAGCCCAGAGCCUGAAUCAGCAUGUGUGUUAGUGGAAGCGUCUGGAAAGGCGCGCGAUACAGGGUGACAGCCCCGUACACAAAAGCGCAUGUGCUGUGAGCUCGAUGAGUAGGGCGGGACACGUGGUAUCCUGUCUGAAUAUGGGGGGACCAUCCUCCAAGGCUAAAUACUCCUGACUGACCGAUAGUGAACCAGUACCGUGAGGGAAAGGCGAAAAGAACCCCGGCGAGGGGAGUGAAAAAGAACCUGAAACCGUGUACGUACAAGCAGUGGGAGCACCCUUUGGGUGUGACUGCGUACCUUUUGU
rnacentral:rRNA from 1 species